rnacentral:rRNA from 1 species
AGAGUUUGAUCAUGGCUCAGAUUGAACGCUGGCGGCAGGCCUAACACAUGCAAGUCGAGCGGAUGAAGGGAGCUUGCUCCUGGAUUCAGCGGCGGACGGGUGAGUAAUGCCUAGGAAUCUGCCUGGUAGUGGGGGAUAACGUCCGGAAACGGGCGCUAAUACCGCAUACGUCCUGAGGGAGAAAGUGGGGGAUCUUCGGACCUCACGCUAUCAGAUGAGCCUAGGUCGGAUUAGCUAGUUGGUGGGGUAAAGGCCUACCAAGGCGACGAUCCGUAACUGGUCUGAGAGGAUGAUCAGUCACACUGGAACUGAGACACGGUCCAGACUCCUACGGGAGGCAGCAGUGGGGAAUAUUGGACAAUGGGCGAAAGCCUGAUCCAGCCAUGCCGCGUGUGUGAAGAAGGUCUUCGGAUUGUAAAGCACUUUAAGUUGGGAGGAAGGGCAGUAAGUUAAUACCUUGCUGUUUUGACGUUACCAACAGAAUAAGCACCGGCUAACUUCGUGCCAGCAGCCGCGGUAAUACGAAGGGUGCAAGCGUUAAUCGGAAUUACUGGGCGUAAAGCGCGCGUAGGUGGUUCAGCAAGUUGGAUGUGAAAUCCCCGGGCUCAACCUGGGAACUGCAUCCAAAACUACUGAGCUAGAGUACGGUAGAGGGUGGUGGAAUUUCCUGUGUAGCGGUGAAAUGCGUAGAUAUAGGAAGGAACACCAGUGGCGAAGGCGACCACCUGGACUGAUACUGACACUGAGGUGCGAAAGCGUGGGGGGCAAACAGGAUUAGAUACCCUGGUAGUCCACGCCGUAAACGAUGUCGACUAGCCGUUGGGAUCCUUGAGAUCUUAGUGGCGCAGCUAACGCGAUAAGUCGACCGCCUGGGGAGUACGGCCGCAAGGUUAAAACUCAAAUGAAUUGACGGGGGCCCGCACAAGCGGUGGAGCAUGUGGUUUAAUUCGAAGCAACGCGAAGAACCUUACCUGGCCUUGACAUGCUGAGAACUUUCCAGAGAUGGAUUGGUGCCUUCGGGAACUCAGACACAGGUGCUGCAUGGCUGUCGUCAGCUCGUGUCGUGAGAUGUUGGGUUAAGUCCCGUAACGAGCGCAACCUUUGUCCUUAGUUACCAGCACCUCGGGUGGGCACUCUAAGGAGACUGCCGGUGACAAGCCGGAGGAAGGUGGGGAUGACGUCAAGUCAUCAUGGCCCUUACGGCCAGGGCUACACACGUGCUACAAUGGUCGGUACAAAGGGUUGCCAAGCCGCGAGGUGGAGCUAAUCCCAUAAAACCGAUCGUAGUCCGGAUCGCAGUCUGCAACUCGACUGCGUGAAGUCGGAAUCGCUAGUAAUCGUGAAUCAGAAUGUCACGGUGAAUACGUUCCCGGGCCUUGUACACACCGCCCGUCACACCAUGGGAGUGGGUUGCUCCAGAAGUAGCUAGUCUAACCGCAAGGGGGACGGUUACCACGGAGUGAUUCAUGACUGGGGUGAAGUCGUAACAAGGUA